rnacentral:rRNA from 1 species
AGCCUACGGGAGGCAGCAGUGGGGAAUCUUCCGCAAUGGGCGAAAGCCUGACGGAGCAACGCCGCGUGAUCGAAUGAAGGCCUUCGGGUUGUAAAGAUCUGUUGACAGGGACGAAUGAGCAAUGCGAAUAGUUUUGUGUAUGACGGUACCUGUUUAGAAAGCUCCGGCUAACUACGUGCCAGCGGCCGCGGUAAUACGUAGGGAGCAAGCGUUGUCCGGAAUUACUGGGCGUAAAGGGCGUGUAGGCGGGAAAGCAAGUCAGAUGUGAAAACCACGGGCUCAACCUGUGGCCUGCAUUUGAAACU